UACGGAGGGUGCAAGCGUUAUCCGGAUUCACUGGGUUUAAAGGGUGCGUAGGCGGCCUGAGCAGUCAGUGGUGAAAGCCCUCGGCUUAACCGGGGAAUUGCCAUUGAACUUUCAGGCUUGAAUGACGUUGAAGUGAGCGGAAUACAUCAGUGUAGCGGUGAAAUGCUUAAGAUAUGAUGUAGAACACCGAUUGCGAAGGCAGCUCACUAAGCGUUAAUUGACGCUGAGGCACGAAAGCGUGGGGAGCGAACAGG
rnacentral:rRNA from 1 species